GAUUUUUUUGGGGCAUGUAAAUUUUGCUAAUUUAGGAAUAACAAGUAGGUGGUAGUUACAACUGCAUGCUCCAAUGCAACAAAGGAGUAUUUGGGGAGGCACAAAGACAAGAUGGUUAGAGAAUUUGGUUAUACUAUCGUUCCCUCCACACAUUCUUAUCUCCCUAGCUCUAGAAUAUUUAAGAGAGAGAGAGAGAGAGAGAGUUGAUGAGAAUAUAGCACAGCUUCAGUGCCAAGACGUUGCCAAGGAGAGCGUACGACAGUGGUUCUCCGUCAGGGAUUUGUUUCGUUCAGAGCCGGAGACAUUUCUACGUAAGCAUGCAGGUUAGAGUUUGAUGGAGAGUUGAAUUAAUUCACAGAAGGUGAGAAAUGGGAAGAGGUCAAACACAAAAGAAGGCGGGGGAGGUGGUGGCUGUAGCAAUAGACAAUGACAAGGGCAGCCAACAUGCUCUCAAAUGGACUAUUGAUAGUCUUGUCACCAGAGGUCAAGCUCUCACGCUGCUCCAAGUUAGACAAAUAACCGCAAUUCCCACGCAAAGUACAUUCUCUCUCUCUGUAUGUGUGUGUGUGUGUGUAAAUGCAUGAAUGCAUAAGAUGCUGAUGAUGAUCGUAAUUUACUAAUGUACGUCACCAGCCACAAAGGAGGUUGAAAAGGCUCAAGCCAAAGAGUUGUUUCAACCAUUCCGCUGCUUUUGCACGAAAAAACUUGUGAGUAAUGCUUCUUCCCUUCAUAAAAGUGAUAGUGCAUUGCCUAUCCCGCUCCAUGAACAGUUGAGCGGAAUCCCUCGUUUCGCAACGUGAUUUGUAGUUGUACUGCUUAUUUGAUUUUUGCAACAGCUAAAAUGCAAUGAAGUCAUGAUCGAGGAUAAAAACAUAGCAAAAGCACUGGUAAACUAUGUUGUCAAUAAUUCAAUCGACAUUUUGGUACUUGGUGCGCCGUCGAGAAGCGGCCUUCUCAGGUACUGAUUUCUUCUCCAAGUUAUAUCUCAGUUCAUAUGCACCAACACUGUAAAAUUCAUCAGAAAAAUAGUAUCAAAGAGAACAAGCAUCAAUCGUAAAAUGUAUAAAUCAUUCAUUUAUUUGAAUGGAACUAUAACUGUAGGUAGUUAAGUAUUACAUCUUUAAAAUCCAAUGAACUAAGAAAACUUUCAUACAUCUGUCUCAACUAAUACCAGCUUACAUACGCCGAAAAUUUGAUGGUUUGAGAAAUCAUUUAUUCAAGAUCUGGUUCCGCACGUUGUAGUCUUACCUCAGUUUUUUCUUCUCGGAAGCCAUCAAUUACGCAUGCAUCAUAAUUAUAUCAAUCUCGUCACAGAUUCAAAACAACGGACGUUCCAAACAGUCUCAAAAGAGGCACCGAGUUUCUGCACUGUGUAUGUCGUUGGCGAGGGAAAGAUAUCAUAUAUGCGAGCUGUUACCACUUCACUGUCCCAGAAAGCUUACUUGCCUAAUCAAAAACGGCACCAAACAAACAAAGCUUCUGACACAAAUGAUACGCAAUUCAGCCACAACCAGCAAUGCAGAGCAUGGGAGAGGACGCAGUAUCCACCACAAAGCCAGCAAUAAGGAGCAUGCCUCCAACUACAAACUUGACAGCAGAAACUAAUAUACCACAAAUGAUUAUCCGAGCCAGUUCUGGUGUCCCAAUAUCAUUCCUUCAAUAAUUGAUACCUAAUUAGUACAAGACUCCCCAGCAGGAUAUUAUGCUCACAUAUAUAAAUGUAGAGUUGAUGUUUAAAUAGUCUUAAGGCUCCACAACAACAGGAUGUUUUUGCCAGAAAUUAUACCGAGGAAAUUAUUUA